GACGAACGCUGGCGGCGUGCUUAACACAUGCAAGUCGAACGGUGAUGCUCCAGCUUGCUGGAGUGGAUCAGUGGCGAACGGGUGAGUAACACGUGAGCAACCUGCCCCAGACUCUGGAAUAAGCGCUGGAAACGGCGUCUAAUACUGGAUACGAAACUGGCCCGCAUGGGCAUGGUUUGGAAAGUUUUUCGGUUUGGGAUGGGCUCGCGGCCUAUCAGCUUGUUGGUGAGGUAAUGGCUCACCAAGGCGACGACGGGUAGCCGGCCUGAGAGGGCGACCGGCCACACUGGGACUGAGACACGGCCCAGACUCCUACGGGAGGCAGCAGUGGGGAAUAUUGCACAAUGGGCGAAAGCCUGAUGCAGCGUCGCCGCGUGAGGGAUGACGGCCUUCGGGUUGUAAACCUCUUUCAGCAGGGAAGAAGCGAAAGUGACGGUACCUGCAGAAGAAGCACCGGCUAACUACGUG
rnacentral:rRNA from 1 species